rnacentral:rRNA from 1 species
GUACAGAGGGUGCCCAACCCGCGAGGGGGAGCUAAUCCCAUAAAACCAGUCGUAGUCCGGAUCGUAGUCUGCAACUCGACUGCGUGAAGUCGGAAUCGCUAGUAAUCGCGGAUCAGCAUGUCGCGGUGAAUACGUUCCCGGGUCUUGUACACACCGCCCGUCACACCAUGGGAGCGGGUUCUGCCAGAAGUAGUUAGCCUAACCGCAAGGAGGGCGAUUACCACGGCAGGGUUCGUGACUGGGGUGAAGUCGUAACAAGGUAGCCGUAUCGGAAGGUGCGGCUGGAUCACCUCCUUACA